CGGUGUGUAGCUCAGCCUGGCCAGAGUUCUCGUUUUGGAAACGAGAUGUCGUAGGUUCAAAUCCUCCCACACCGACCA
rnacentral:tRNA from 1 species